UACGAAGGGGGCUAGCGUUGCUCGGAAUGACUGGGCGUAAAGGGCGCGUAGGCGGAUUGUACAGUCAGGCGUGAAAUUCCCGGGCUCAACCUGGGGGCUGCGCUUGAGACGUGCGAUCUUGAGUGGGGAAGAGGGUCGUGGAAUUCCCAGUGUAGAGGUGAAAUUCGUAGAUAUUGGGAAGAACACCGGUGGCGAAGGCGGCGACCUGGUCCUUGACUGACGCUGGGCGCGAAAGCGUGGGGAGCAAACAGG
rnacentral:rRNA from 1 species